UAGCAUGGGAGAUGGAAGAAACUACUUACUC
rnacentral:piRNA from 1 species